GAAAAGAUAGACCUGUGAUGCUGCCAAGUUCAGCCAGACCAGUGGCAUGAUGAACUUCCCAGUUGGUAAUCCGUGCAUUACUGCAGAGCUGCAUGUGGAGGCUUUGCCAUUUUUUCCCAACAUAUUGAGCCAUUAUAGACACAGCUCACCUGGACUAGUCAAUAGAUGGAGAGGCAUCCCAGCUUCAGGAGUGAACUUCCACUUCUGCCCUUGCAAACAGAGGCUGUUGGUGAGGAAGAGGGAAUCUGCAGCAGUUGAAGGGCAAGAGGUGGUGCUGUUGUGCUCAUGGCACACAGCUGGAGAGCUGGCUAUACUGCCACAGGGACAACAUGGAAAGACUUUUUGGCAUGGUGGGCCACCUUAAAGUGCCUGAAGUUGACCUGUCCAAUCAUCCAGCAUCUAGCCUUUUUAUUUGUUCUUAUUGCUCAUUUUACCUCCAAUAUAUUCUGAUAAACAAAAGAAACGACAGUGGCAGACAAGGUUCUACAUUGAAAUUAAACACAGCUGAUCUUUAUGUGUAGGCUCGCACAAAGUAACUUUCGCCCCUUGCCCAUGAAGCUGCAGAAACAGCAGGAAGUCUGGCUGAAUCUGAGUAGCAGCAAUCCAAGGGGUAAAAAGAACAGCAAACCACUCACGAAUAAAACUUCUUUCCCUUGUACCUUGGGGAAGGAACUGUUGUGCCACAGACAACAUCUUAGUGCACAGCACACUGUGGUUUUAAGGGACUUCAUGGUGGGUGUCAACAAGAAGUGCAAGUACCCAGCUGACAUUAGUGCAAAAAAGCCUCUCUGCCCCGUAAGUCUCUGUACCCAAUGCAGCACAGGGCAAGGAGACGUUAUUAUAUAUCAUAGGUGCAUAUAAAUGAUUGCUAUGUUAUGUUAUUUUUGUCACAUUUUGUUAUUACAUUAUAUGUUAUGUUGCCUUAUUAUGUUACAGUAAUUUAUGUUAGCUUAUGUAAGGGGAUAUCAGCAUUUCAAAAUGCAUCCCAAGCUCCGUCUACACAGGGUCAGAAUUUUGCUCUUACUGCUUGGGCAUGUGCUAAAGCAGCUACUAAAAAGUGCAGCCAGGACCAGUCUGGUUGUGUCAUGCACUGUGAGCAAAGAAAAUGGGACAAUCCUGUGACUUGCUGCAAGAUGUCAGGGCUUGCCAUCAGGAUUGAUGAAGGCAAGAGGGAAAGGGAAGAGCAGACAGCCCAGAACUACCAGGCUUUCGAUCCUGUUUUUCACCUUACAGCAAGAAAUUGCAGCCCCGUUCCUCAACCUGGAAGGUGUCACAGCUCCUCUUUCUGCCCAAAGCCUUUCCAAGCACCCCUGUUGCACAAGGGCACUGGCAAGAUGGGAGCCAGGAUGAGGCUCCACCUGAAGAUGAACAUUGCUUUCAUUGUGCUCAGCUCUGAAGUGCUGAGCAUCGCAAGCCAGCUGCAUCUCAGCUGCACCCAGAGCAGGGCUCUGUGUCCCAUGGCGCAUGGGGAGCCCACAGAGACGAGGCAGUGCUGCCCCCAGAUCACAGCACCCCGUCCUCCUCACACAGCCCCCCAGCAUCAGCAGGUGUGCCGGGAUGUCUGUUAGGAAAAGGCAGACAGGGAGGAAGGAUGAUAAUAGCCCUGCCACGCUUUGUUUUGGGACACCAGCAGCUGGAUGGGAGCACUGGUGGGGACAGCAGACCCCAGCCUGUCCCAGCACUUCACCCUUGCUGUCACACGUUUGCUGGUCCCGUGCAGCUCCAAAACCAAGAUGCUGGGGGUGCCUGGACUAUUUGGCCUCUAGGAUGCCACCUGAGAGGUUAGAGGUGGAGAGUGCUGGUGUAGCCCGGGGGCGUGAUGUUCUCCUGGCAGCACGCCUGCACUGCAGCAAGGACCAGAGCCAUCGCCUCCCUCUCCUCCCUCUCAGCUGGUGGUGACAAGACCAGCAGUGUGCAAGAUCACCCAGCUCGCAGGCGCAGCAGAAACUUGUCUUGUCUGGGUUUGCAUGCGUCACACCUCCAGGACUUUACUUGCCAGCUGCUAUCAGCUCUGUUGGCUUUCUUACCGCUCCAAAACCUCAAACUGCAACUUCUCUGCACCUACUGACUUUAAAGGUCUCACGUCAAAGCCAUGUAAAAGUACUGAGUUUUUUUCAGGCCCCCAAAACCAACCAAACAAUAACAACAACAACAAAAAAGCAACCCAUAAAUCAAACUUACAACUCACAACUGAACAGAGUUUCACCCCAAGUUGAUACAGUUUUAUAGAGAAACUUGGACCAGGUGACUUUUGCGUGGAUUCAUUCAAAGCAUCUGUAGAACAUCAAUUAAAUGUAGCUCUUCUGUAAAGCAUAGAUUUAUACAUUGGAUUUUUCCACUGCCGAGUGAAGGAUAUAUGAAAUGAAAACAUACUAUUAGGACUUAAAGGUUUUAAAUAUCUUUUUAGAAGUUUAGCUAGGCAUUAUGGAUUUCUGGACAAGUAGGUUAAAGUAGAACACGUGCAGCAGCCUAUGGAGGAGCUAGAAAGCUGGGAAAAGCACUGAUGAAAGUCAGGGCCAAGAGCAAAGGACCUGAGUUCACCCAAAGAAGACAAGGGAAGACAGAAAUCCUGGCUGGUGCUCCACAGUAGUCUUAGGCAGGAGAAAAGUCGGAAGACUGAUCUUUAUCUGGAGCAAAAGACAGGAUGGAAGAUUUUAUUUCCUUACUUGCAAUGAAAACAGAAACUCUCUCAUUCAGUGGAAGGAAAAUGGGCAGCAGGACAAAGGUCAUAAAUGAAAUGGGGAACCUGAGCAGCUCCAUUACUUAUGGCUACACACCCUGCUUUCCUUAGAAAUCAUGGC